rnacentral:lncRNA from 12 species
AUGUGCACUCAAAGCAAAUGUAUUUUUUUUUUUAUUUUGCAGUCACUUCAGGAUGAAGGUUCUACGGACAGGGCUGGAGUUAUUGGCUGGAUCUCACAAGGAAUUGGAAAGGUGGUCCCGCAGCCUGAUGAGAAACACAUACGGGACGAGACUCCAGAAUCUGAAGAAGUCACAGAGGUUUACGAGGCAAAGGACCUUCCAGAUCAGGAGCCUUUGGCACAUAUACAAGUAGUAGAGCUGGUGUCAGAAGACGAGAUGUCGGAGGUGGAACCAACCGCUCAGUUCCCUCCUAAUGUAAUGAACUGGAUAAAGAGCGGCUUCCAGAACGCUAUACCGCACCAUGUGACCAGACCCCCAAAUUCCAGUUCUUCCACGCCGAGGUCAUCACAGUGCUCAAACAAAGUUUAUUCACCUCCUCCAGAGUCGAUAACCAGCGUGACGGAGAUCGAAUUGAAAACUCCCAGUAUGGUGGGCUGGAUUGUUCAGGGUCUGGGUCUUUCAAUGCCACAAGCGAUGCUUAAAAACAAAGAAGGAUGUUUGGAGGACGGGAAGAUUGUGCAAAAUGGCAGUGCUCGGUCAGCUCCUGCAGACCUUGUUCUUGAGGAGAUUGACUCUGAAGAUGAAGCUCAAGAAAAAACAUGUUCAGCAACAAACUCAUUGCCAAAUUCACAACCUCAGUCCCAACCACAAACACCUUGGUCACCGGAACAAUCUCUUCCACUGAGUGUCACCACACCAGCACAAAUAGAACUGGAGGACGCAGAGACCCAAACCGCACGAUGGACGCCCAUGAUCGAGAACAUCAGAAGAGAGGCGGAGGACACCGCCAUAUUAAUUAUGGAGGAACGGUUGAUACAGGAGCGUCUGGCGAUGGCUCGAAUGGCAGAAGAGGUGGCACGGCAGACAGCAGAGAUGGCUGUCAGGGAGUUGGCACAGGCCCGGUUCGCCAUUCAGACCAUUGCAGAAGAGCCAGAAGAUGCUGAUCAAGAAUUACAAGUGCUGCACGAAGAGGAAAGUGAUAUAGAAGUCAUACGAAAUCAAAUUGCAGAGUAA